AGAGACAACAUCUAGGAACAAGUUUCCCUGUCAUGUUGCAGUUUCUGUGGUAGAUUGUGACCCCUUUUUCUUACAGCAGGUCUGUAUGCAGCGGUCCGACCGGCCACGGGAACUGGCUGAAGACCACUCACGUGUUCACGCUGUAUUCUGUGCUCGGAUCCACCUGUCAUGGUGGACACCUUACAGCAACAGGUAUGAAAUUGACCAGCAAGGGCACAAUCGACAAUAAAGAGCCUAAAGAGAGAGUUCCUGGACCUGAGCUGGAAGCGGUGGUGCCCAGAAAGCACACGUGCCAAUUGGACAAUUAGACCAAGAGUAAAUGCCUGACUUCAUGGAAGGGGAGAAGAAGGGCCAGAGAGAAAACAGGAGGCAAGAGGAGGUGGUGAACCAACAACAGAAAACAAGGGGAGGAAAGUACUUCACAUCUCUUCUGAAGAGAUCAUUUUAUUUUCAGUGCUCCCAGAAAUUACAUCAGAACAAUUUUUUUCCUGAAAUAAUAUAUACAGCUAUUAAUAGCAUAGUAUUCCCUAUUAGCUUCCACUCUUACCAGCAUAGGGAAGGCAAUUCCCUCAAUAUUGACUGAGAGCCCGUGUGUUAGGUGCUGAGGUACAAAAUGAAACCAAGGAGUCCUGAGGACUCGGUGGCAGAACCGUGUAAAAUAUGGUUUCUCUGAACAUGACCCCUCUGGUCAGAGGUGGGUCGGCCAGGGCUUUGUCUGUUCAAAGCCAAGCCCAGCCACAUGGGAUAGAGAUCGGAUGUGCUGGGGCGGACCAGGGGCCAAGAUAGCCAGGGAUCUGGCUUUGAAUCACUCUGGUAUUCGAGCUUUUUUCCCCUGAAGAAAAAUGAGAAAAUACUGGUCAUGUGGCUGUUGAGUAUUUUUCAAUAAGCAAGCCUUAUUUUUAUCAUGUUAUGAAAUGCUUGUCCCCGAGAGCUCUCUUUAGGUGCAUGGGAAGUGCUGCGAUACCAGUCGGAUGCCCUCAUGCCGAGAGGCUGGCAUUUUGAUUUUUGUGGGCCCUAAGCACUUUUACCUCUGUCGACCUC